AUCCAGCUGACGAGUCCCGGAUAGGACGAAAGACGCGUCCUGGAU
rfam:Schistosoma margrebowiei strain Zambia genome assembly, scaffold: SMRZ_contig0000368